rnacentral:rRNA from 1 species
GGCCCAACCCGUUUGGAGGGAGCCGUCGAAGGUGGGAUCAGCGAUUGGGGUG